GAGCCCUGACUCUUUCACCAUUUCAUGAUGGCUUAUUACUCGCACACGGCAUUGUCAGGUUCCAGCAACUCUGUGUGCAGCAGGCAGAAAUGCAGUGUUUAUCUCUGACAGGCAAACAUUCUUAGGCUCAUCGGCAUGAGUAUCCACGCUGAACUGGCUAUCGGGGAAGUAGAUCCCUGCAUGGGAAAGUCAAGAUUGGUUCCUGGGAUCCUGGACCAACACAAAGAGAAGAGGAAAGCCUCAAGGGAAAUAAAAGUGAAGGUUUCAGUGAUAGUUUAAAUAUAUAUUUUUAAAUGUUAGCUUUUUUUUAAAUACUUCACAGUGAUGGAUGGAGUAUUUCAACCACAAUGGCAAAGAAUGAAUUACCGGCAGUGUCAGAGUUUCUUGUUGCUGUGGGAAGACAGCUGCCAUGUUGAGAGGUGCCUUGUGGAGAGGCUCAUGUGGCGAGGAACUGAGACUGGCUUCUAUCCAACAACCAGUGAGGAACUAAGGCCCUAAAGUCCUAUAGUCCACAAGGAACUAAAUCCUACCAACAACUACAUGAGUGAGCCUGGAAUCUGAUUUUCCCCAGUGGGGACUUAAGGUACCUACAACCUGGCUGUUAUGGGCUAAACUGCAUCCUGCCCAAAUUUAUAUGUUUGAGUCUUAACUCCCAGCACUUCAGAACAUGGUUUUGUUUGGAGACAUAGUCAUUAAAGAGGUAAUGAAGUUAAAAUGAGGUCAUUAGGAUGAGUCCUAAUCCAAUAGGACUGGUGUUCUUAUAUGAAGAGGAAAUUUGAACACAGACACAUAUACAGGAAAGACCAUGCGAAGAAGACACAGAGAGGAAACGGCCAUCUACAAUCCAAGGAGAGAGGCCUCAGAACAAGCCAACCCUGCAGAUACCUUGAUCUAGGCAUCCAGAAUUGUAUGAAAAUACAUUUUUGUUAUUUAAGCUACCCAGUCUGUGGUGCUUUGUUAUGGCAAUCCCAGAAAACUAAUUAACUAAUUGACUGCAGCCUUGCAAGGGACCCUGAACCAGAGGACCCAGUUAAGCCAUGUGCAGAUUCCUGACUCACAGAACUAGGAGAUAACAAAUGUUUGUUGUUCUAAGGUGCUAAAUGUUGGGAAAAUAUGUUAUGUGGCUAUGUUGUUUUGCACAUGUGCCACAUAAUGAUGUUUUGGUCAACAACAGACCACACAUAUGAUGGUGGGCCCAUAAGAUUGUAAUACUGUGUUUCUAUUAUGCAUUCUCUAUUUAUAGAUACACAAAUACUUGCCACUGUGUUACAAUUGCCUACUGUCUUCAGUACUGUAACAUGCUGUACAGGUUUGUAGCCCAGAAGCAAUAGACUAUACCAUACAGUCUGGGUGUGUAGUAGGCUAUACCAUCUAUGUUUGUGAAGUACACUCUAUGAUGUUCACAUAAUUAUGAAGUUGCCUAGUGAUGCAUUUCUCAGAAUGCAUGCCCGAC
rnacentral:lncRNA from 1 species